rnacentral:rRNA from 1 species
CACGUAGGGCGCAAGCGUUGUCCGGAAUCAUUGGGCGUAAAGCGCACGUAGGCGGUCCAGUAAGUCGGGUGUGAAAGCCCUCGGCUCAACCGAGGAAGUGCAUUCGAAACUACUGAACUUGAGUAUGGAAGAGGGUCGCGGAAUUCCCGGUGUAGAGGUGAAAUUCGUAGAUAUCGGGAGGAACACCAGUGGCGAAGGCGGCGACCUGGGCCAAUACUGACGCUGAGGUGCGAAAGCGUGGGGAGCAAACAGG